GUCGAACGCACAGCGAAAGGUGCUUGCACCUUUCAAGUGAGUGGCGAACGGGUGAGUAACACGUGGACAACCUGCCUCAAGGCUGGGGAUAACAUUUGGAAACAGAUGCUAAUACCGAAUAAAACUUAGUGUCGCAUGACAAAAAGUUAAAAGGCGCUUCGGCGUCACCUAGAGAUGGAUCCGCGGUGCAUUAGUUAGUUGGUGGGGUAAAGGCCUACCAAGACAAUGAUGCAUAGCCGAGUUGAGAGACUGAUCGGCCACAUUGGGACUGAGACACGGCCCAAACUCCUACGGGAGGCUGCAGUAGGGAAUCUUCCACAAUGGGCGAAAGCCUGAUGGAGCAACGCCGCGUGUGUGAUGAAGGCUUUCGGGUCGUAAAGCACUGUUGUAUGGGAAGAACAGCUAGAAUAGGAAAUGAUUUUAGUUUGACGGUACCAUACCAGAAAGGGACGGCUAAAUACGUGCCAGCAGCCGCGGUAAUACGUAUGUCCCGAGCGUUAUCCGGAUUUAUUGGGCGUAAAGCGAGCGCAGACGGUUUAUUAAGUCUGAUGUGAAAGCCCGGAGCUCAACUCCGGAAUGGCAUUGGAAACUGGUUAACUUGAGUGCAGUAGAGGUAAGUGGAACUCCAUGUGUAGCGGUGGAAUGCGUAGAUAUAUGGAAGAACACCAGUGGCGAAGG
rnacentral:rRNA from 1 species